rnacentral:tRNA from 1 species
GGGGAUACAGCUCUGUUGGUAGAGUGCUUGCCUUGCAUGCAUGAAGCCCUGGGUUUAAUCCCCAGCACCACCA